ensembl:lncRNA
GUUGACUUGUGAACCGACCGGUGAACCGCGAGCAACUUUCGAGUGGAACUAACCGCUGAUUCUUCAGUGACAAACUUAGCUUGGGCUACAAAAAAAGUGACUCUGUGACUUUUUAAAAAGUUGUCAGGACGUAAAUGAUAGGAAGACAUUUUAGACGAUAAGUGGCCAGACCUGUCAAACACCUGUAUACAGGUGGAGGUUAGCAAACCGGAGCGUCCAUUACAGCUCACAGCACGAUGAGCGGCAUCAAAGUGUCAGUUGGAGAAAGAGAGUCACCAAGAGCAGAAGAGGAUAAGAGAGGCUCCCCAUCUGGAUGGAAGACAGUCCUCUGUGUGCCUGAUUAAUGGUGUGGAGAGACAGUUGCCAGUUCUGAAGCCUUGCUGUCUGGCCCAGGUCAAAACUUCCAGAAGGCAACCUAAUGCAGUCUGCUUUGGUUUCCAUCUUCUUCUAAACUGUUUAUUGCAGUCGUGUAAGAGCUCUCUCAGAUGGUUUCCUGACUGGAGGCAUGUGGAAGUUCAACUCUGAGGCUGAGUGCUGAAAAAAGGGAUUCCAGAGGUUGAAACUAGCAGGGAGAUUUUAAGCAAAUGGCAUCUGGUUAAAGGUCAGAUUCGGGGGGCCCAGUGGGUGAAAGGUUGAAUAACUCCAAGGAAGGUAGUGACCAAGUCUUUAGGAAGAUGUUUUAGACCCUGUUUCAGGCAGCUACUUAUCCUGCGAUCACUUUAAUCCUUUAAAAUCUUAAAUAGAG